GAAAUUUUCACAGGAUUCUCAAAUCCUCAAAAGGGGAAAACCAGACAAACGCCAUUAUAUUACACCACCACCAUCGUAAUCAAGAGCAGAACUUUUGAAACCCACCCUUGCCUGCCGGAGAACCGAAGCUUUUGUUUGUUUGAAGGGAAGGGAAGGGAAAGGAAAGUGGAGGAUGGGGGUGGAUUACUACAAGAUCUUACAAGUAGAUAGGAAUGCAAAAGAUGAUGACUUGAAGAAGGCUUAUAGGAAGCUUGCCAUGAAAUGGCAUCCUGAUAAGAAUCCCAAUAAUAAGAGAGAGGCUGAAGCUAAGUUUAAACAAAUCUCUGAGGCCUAUGAGGUUCUUAGUGAUCCCCAGAAAAGAGCAGUGUAUGACCAAUAUGGUGAAGAGGGUGUAAAAGGCUCAGUACCACCCCCUGAUGCUGGUGGAACUUCCUACUUCUCCACUGGAGAUAUUCCUGCAUCAUUCCGAUUCAAUCCACGGAGUGCUGAUGAUAUUUUUGCAGAGUUUUUUGGGUUUUCAAGACCAUUUGGAGGCAUGGGAGGUGGUGGUGGCAUGAGAGGAACAAGGUUCUCAAGUGGAAUAUUCGGUGAUGAUAUCUUUGGGUCUUUUGGUGAUGGAGGAGGAGGUUCAAUGCAUCAAAGUGGUCCUAGAAAAGCUUCUGCUAUUGAGAAUAGGUUACCUUGUAGUCUGGAGGAGCUCUACAAGGGGACUACCAAAAAGAUGAAGAUU
rnacentral:misc_RNA from 1 species